rnacentral:rRNA from 1 species
AUUGAACGCUGGCGGCAGGCCUAACACAUGCAAGUCGAGCGGAGCGGCGGACGGGUGAGUAAUGUAUGGGGAUCUGCCCGCUAGAGGGGGAUAACUACGGGAAACGGUGGCUAAUACCGCAUACGAUUGGAGCGGCCGAUAUCGGUUUAGCUAGGUGGGGGGGUAACGGCUCACCAAGGCGACGUUCCGUAGCUGGUGUGAGAGGGCGACCCGCCACGCUGGGACUGACACACGGCCCAGACUCCGACGGGAGGCAGCAGUGGGGAAUUUUGGACAAUGGGGGAAACCCUGAUCCAGCCAUCCCGCGUGUGCGAUGAAGGCCUCGGGUUGUAAUGCACUUUGGGCAGGAAAGCGGUACCUGCAGAAGAAGCACCGGCUAACUACGUGCCAGCAGCCGCGGUAAUUC